AACACCUUUGCCAGUAAUGAACUUAUAUUUCUUUUUUUAAAAGGAGAAGAAGAAGAAGAAGAAUGAAGAGGAGGAUUAGAGUUAGUGAUACCACUGCUUGGCAUCUCCCCCUUCAUUUUUAUGGGCUGUUUCAGACUCCAUCAGGAUUGCCAGAUAGUGGGAAGUCUGACUACUCCUGGGAACAUCCUCCUGUUUUCCUUUCUAUCAUCAAAUGGAAUGCUUGACUGCUCAUAGGCCUGGGGUAAGAUUUGUUCAAUCUUUUCAGUCAUUUUUGACUCUUUGUGACCCCACUUGGGGCUUUCUUGGUAAAGGCACUGGAGUAGUUUGCCAUUUCCUUCUCUAGAUCAUUUUAAAGAUGAGGAAACUGAGGC
rnacentral:lncRNA from 1 species